rnacentral:misc_RNA from 1 species
GUGGUAUUAUAAAGCAAAUAAGGCACGAAUCUGGAGCUUUUAUCAAAGUUGACAGCACCAAAACUGAAGAUGACUGCAUAAUAUCAGUUUCUGCCAAGGAGUUCUUUGAAGAUGUGGUCUCUCCGACAAUGGAUGCUGCUAUGCGCUUGCAUCCCAGAUGUAGUGAGAAAACUGAAAAAGAGUCUGGUGAAGCUUUAUAUACCACCCGCCUUCUCGUUCCUACUUCACGCAUUGGUUGUCUGAUUGGCAAAGGUGGAAGCAUCAUUUCUGAGAUGAGGCGAAGCUCACGAGCAAAUAUCCGCAUACUUUCCAAGGAGAACCUUCCCAAGGUUGCUUCUGAAGAUGAUGAGAUGGUUCAGAUCAGUGGAGAUCUUGAGGUCACUGGC